ensembl:snRNA U6 U6 spliceosomal RNA
GUGCUCACUUAGGAGGCACAUAUACUAAAAUUUGAAAAAUACAAAGAAUAUUAGCUCAAGGAUGACACACAAUUUGUGAAGUGUUCCAUAUUUUU